rnacentral:rRNA from 1 species
GAACGCUGGCGGCAGGCCUAACACAUGCAAGUCGAACGUAGUGGCGGACGGGUGAGUAACGCGUGGGUACUUGCCUCUCGGUACGGGACAACCCCGGGAAACUGGGGCUAAUACCGUAUAUACCCGAGAGAUUGGCCCGCGUUAGAUUAGAUAGUUGGUGGGGUAAUGGCCUACCAAGUCUACGAUCUCUAGCUGGUUUGAGAGGAUGAUCAGCCACACUGGGACUGAGACACGGCCCAGACUCCUACGGGAGGCAGCAGUGGGGAAUAUUGGACAAUGGGCGCAAGCCUGAUCCAGCCAUGCCGCGUGAGUGAAGAAGGCCUUAGGGUUGUAAAGCUCUUUCGCUAGGGAAGAUAAUACGGUACCUAGUAAAGAAGUCCCGGCUAACUCCGUGCCAGCAGCCGCGGUAAUACGGAGGGGACUAGCGUUGUUCGGAAUUACUGGGCGUAAAGAGUACGUAGGCGGUUUAUCAAGUUGGGUGUGAAAGCCCGGGGCUCAACCCCGGAACUGCAUUUAAAACUACUAAACUAGAAUCUCGGAGGGGAUGGUGGAAUUUCCAGUGUAGAGGUGAAAUUCGUAGAUAUUGGAAGGAACACCAGUGGCGAAGGCGACCAUCUGGACGAGUAUUGACGCUGAGGCACGAAAGCGUGGGGAGCCAACAGGAUUCGAUACCCUGGUAGUCCACGCCGUAAAGUAGGGACCUUAGGUUUCAGUGGCGCAGCUAACGCACUAAGUUUACCGCCUGGGGAGUACGGCCGCAAGGUUAAAACUCAAAGGAAUUGACGGGGACCCGCACAAGCGGUGGAGCAUGUGGUUUAAUUCGAUGCAACGCGCAGAACCUUACCAGCCCUUGACAUCCCGAUUGGGAGGAGGGCUGUCGUCCGCUCGUGUCGUGAGACGUUGGGCUAAGUCCCGCAACGAGCGCAACCCCUGUUAUCAGUUGCCAAGUUCGGCUGGGCACUCUGGGGAAACUGCCGGUGACAAGCCGGAGGAAGGCGGGGAUGACGUCAAGUCCUCAUGGCCCUUAUGGGUUGGGCUACACACGUGCUACAAUGGCGGCGACAGAGGGCAGCGAGGUCGUGAGGCCAAGCGAAUCUCCAAAAACCGUCUCAGUUCGGAUUGCACUCUGCAACUCGAGUGCAUGAAGUCGGAAUUGCUAGUAAUCGCGGAUCAGCAUGCCGCGGUGAAUACGUUCCCGGGCCUUGUACACACCGCCCGUCACACCAUGGGAGUUGGUUUUACCCGAAGCCGGUGCGCUAACCGCUGACCACGGUAGGAUUAGCGACUGGGGUG